AUUGAACGCUGGCGGCAUGCUUUACACACGCAAGUCGAACGGCAGCACGAAAGAGCUUGCUCUUUUGGUGGCGAGUGGCGAACGGGUGAGUAAUGCAUCGGAACGUACCGAGUAAUGGGGGAUAACUGUCCGAAAGGAUAGCUAAUACCGCAUACGCUUUGAGAAGGAAAGUGGGGGCUCUUCGGACCUCACGUUAUUCGAGCGGCCGAUGUCUGAUUAGCUAGUUGGUGGGGUAAAGGCCUACCAAGGCGACGAUCAGUAGCGGGUCUGAGAGGAUGAUCCGCCACACUGGGACUGAGACACGGCCCAGACUCCUACGGGAGGCAGCAGUGGGGAAUUUUGGACAAUGGGCGCAAGCCUGAUCCAGCCAUGCCGCGUGUCUGAAGAAGGCCUUCGGGUUGUAAAGGACUUUUGUUAGGGAAGAAAAGGAUAGUGUUAAUACCAUUAUCUGCUGACGGUACCUAAAGAAUAAGCACCGGCUAACUACGUG
rnacentral:rRNA from 1 species